CAGCCGCCGCGGUAAUACCGGCCCCGCGAGUGGUCGGGGUGAUUAUUGGGCUUAAAGCGUCCGUAGCCGGGUUGGGAAGUCCUCCGGGAAAUCUGGCCGCUUAACGGUCAGAAUGCCGGAGGAUACUCCCAGCCUAGGGAGCGGGAGAGGCCGAGGGUAUUCCCGGAGUAGGGGUGAAAUCCUAUAAUCCCGGGAGGACCACCUGUGGCGAAGGCGCUCGGCUGGAACGCGUCCGACGGUGAGGGACGAAGGCCAGGGGAGCAAACCGGAUUAGAUACCCGGGUAGUCCUGGCUGUAAACGAUGCGGACUUUGUGUCGGACAAGCUAUGAGCUUGUCCGGUGCCGGAGGGAAACCGUUAAGUCCGCCGCCUGGGGAGUACGGCCGCAAGGCUGAAACUUAAAGGAAUUGGCGGG
rnacentral:rRNA from 1 species